UACGUAGGGAGCAAGCGUUGUCCGGAAUCAUUGGGCGUAAAGCGCGCGUAGGUGGCCACAUAAGUCCGUUGUGAAAGUCAAAGGCUCAACCUUUGAAAGCCGAUGGAUACUGUGUGGCUAGAGUACGGAAGAGGCGAGUGGAAUUCCUGGUGUAGCGGUGGAAUGCGCAGAUAUCAGGAGGAACACCCGUAGCGAAGGCGGCACUCUGGGCCGGUACUGACGCUGAGGAGCGAAAGCGUGGGGAGCAAACAGG
rnacentral:rRNA from 1 species